rnacentral:rRNA from 1 species
CCUACGGUGGCUGCAGUGGGGAAUAUUGGACAAUGGGCGAAAGCCUGAUCCAGCCAUGCCGCGUGUGUGAAGAAGGCCUUCGGGUUGUAAAGCACUUUCAGUGGGGAAGAAAGCCUUGGGGCUAAUACCCUCGAGGAAGGACAUCACCCACAGAAGAAGCACCGGCUAACUCCGUGCCAGCAGCCGCGGUAAUACGGAGGGUGCGAGCGUUAAUCGGAAUUACUGGGCGUAAAGCGCGCGUAGGCGGUCUGAUAAGCCGGUUGUGAAAGCCCCGGGCUCAACCUGGGAACGGCAUCCAGAACUGUCAGGCUAGAGUGCAGGAGAGGAAGGUAGAAUUCCCGGUGUAGCGGUGAAAUGCGUAGAGAUCGGGAGGAAUACCAGUGGCGAAGGCGGCCUUCUGGACUGACACUGACGCUGAGGUGCGAAAGCGUGGGUAGCAAACAGGAUUAGAUACCCGAGUAGUC